CCUACGGGGGGCUGCAGUCGAGAAUAUUCCUCAAUGGCCGAAAGGCUGAAGGAGCGACGCCGCGUGUAUGAAGAAGCCCUUCGGGGUGUAAAAUACUUUUAAUCGGGACGAAAUACUGACGGUACCGGUUGAAUAAGGGGCUGCUAACCUCGUGCCAGCAGCAGCGGUAAUACGAGGGCCCCAAGCGUUAUCCGGAUUUAUUGGGCGUAAAGAGUGUGUAGGCGGUUUAUAACAUCUCCUGUUAAAUCUCAAGGCUCAACCUUGAGGCCGCGGGAGAUAUGGAUAAACUAGAGUUCGGAAGAGGCAAGUGGAAUUGCUGGUGUAGGGGUUAAAUCCGUUAAUAUCAGCAGGAACACCAAAAGCGAAGGCAGCUUGCUGGGACGACACUGACGCUGAGACACGAAAGCGUGGGGAGCGAAUGGGAUUAGAUACCCCAGUAGUC
rnacentral:rRNA from 1 species